UACAGAGGGUGCAAGCGUUAAUCGGAUUUACUGGGCGUAAAGCGCGCGUAGGUGGUUUGGUAAGCGAGAUGUGAAAGCCCCGGGCUUAACCUGGGAACGGCAUUUCGAACUGUCAGACUAGAGUGUGGUAGAGGGUAGUGGAAUUUCCUGUGUAGCGGUGAAAUGCGUAGAUAUAGGAAGGAACACCAGUGGCGAAGGCGGCUACCUGGACCAACACUGACACUGAGGUGCGAAAGCGUGGGGAGCAAACAGG
rnacentral:rRNA from 1 species